GAACGCCACACUAGAAACACCCGGAGCCUCGGAGGCGCCCCCUCGUGUUGGGUCCCCCGGCUUCUUCAGGAUGGAUCUCUGGAAUUCCUGCUCAGAACUAAUCCUGGUCUUAAUGAGAGAAGGCUUACACAGGGUCCCCUUGGAAGUGGCUGCAAGACUGUGAGGUCGUGGGGUGAGCCUGCCCUGGGAGAUCUUCCUCUGGUCGUUCUGUUUCCGAUCUGUUAAUCCCUUUGUUGUGUUCUAGAACAAUGAGAAUGAUAACAAUGUAUCAUGUUGUGAUGUGUUCUAGAGGGUGUUAAGAAUUGUAACAAUGUAUCACUAUGGCAAGAUGUGUUCCAGGACAAUGAGGAUAACAAUGUAUCAUUAUGUUGUGAUGUGAUCUAGAACAAUGAGAAUUAACAAUGUAUCACUAUGUUGUGAUGUGUUCUAGAGGGUUAUAAGAAUUGUGACAAUGUAUCACUAUGGCAAGAUGUGUUCCAGAACAAUGAGAAUGAUAACAAUGUAUCAUGUUGUGAUGUGUUCUAGAGGGUUAUAAGAAUGAUAACAAUGUAUCACUAUGGCGAGAUGUGUUCCAGGACAAUGAGGAUAACAAUGUAUCAGGUUGUGAUGUGUUCCAGGACAAUGAGAAUGAUAACAAUGUAUCAUUAUGUUGUGAUGUGUCCCAGAACAAUGAGAAUUAACAAUGUAUCAUUAUGGCGAGAUGUGUUCCAGGACAAUGAGGAUAACAAUGUAUCAUUAUGUUGUGAUGUGAUCUAGAACAAUGAGAAUUAACAAUGUAUCAUUAUGUUGUGAUGUGAUCUAGAACAAUGAGAAUUAACAAUGUAUCAUUAUGUUGUGAUGUGAUCUAGAACAAUGAGAAUGAUAACAAUGUAUCAUGUUGUGAUGUGUUCUAGAGGGUUAUAAGAAUUGUAAUAAUGUAUCACUAUGGCGAGAUGUGUUCAGGACAAUGAGAAUGAUAACAAUGUAUCAUUAUGUUGUGAUGUGUCCCAGAACAAUGAGAAUGAUAACAAUG